AAACCAAACAUGUAAUUUAGGUAUCCAUAUUGAUAGUUAUGCAUUGAUACCAGGAGCACAGAUUCUUAAUACAACUGAAUGACACAAUAUUUUGGUGAAUUGGGUCUCUGAAUAUUCUAGUGCCAAUUCUCUAUCAAUAGUCUUUGCUAAGCCAGUUUACUUCUCUGUGGAAGGCCCUGAUUUUUUAUCAUUUUAUAAGACAUCCAUUUUAGAAUAACUUGAAUUUUCCAACUUUUUGUUUAUGGUCUAAAGUCUCAUUGCAUGACCUUAUAAAGCUUUCACUUCUCAUAAAAUCAUAAAGGAAUAAACAACAUUCUGUAUAAAUCUAACUGAAGAAAGAGAAUGAGUUUUGAACACAGACCUGUCGUUGAACUCGACCUAAUUAUUGUAUACCAAGUGCAGGUACCAAGCUGGAACUUGAACUCUGAACAUUGUCCACCUUCCAAAGCAUGAAAAUUGGACAAAUUAAAAAGAACACCAAGAAGAUACUUCCUUAUCUAUUCCAGAUCAGUUAUACUGGUGCUUCCCCAUUUUUUUCCUAGAAGUCAAUGGAUCUGUAUAAAUUUUCUUCCAGGAAAUUGGGGUAUGAUAGGAGUUCCUGUAGAUUUAUACAUAGAAUGCCUUCUGUAAGAUCAGUGGCUCUCUCUUCCCAAUUGGUUCAAGGGUCUCUAUGUUCUUGGUUUUUUUUUCUUCUCAUUCUCCCUUUCUCCUAUAUAGUUUCAGAUUUAUGAUCAUAGUUUCUGCAAACUCCUCAGCAAGCCCAAGCAAUCCUUUUCACCCCCAGUGAGAUGCAGUUUAUAGUGGAGAAUAUGAAGGCAGCAUCAAGUUUGAUUGAAAGUAAUACUAGGCUUGGCCAGACAUCAUGCAGACAUCCAGGAAAUACAAGAAAUAUAUUUUGUUAAAGCACAGAUUGUUUUAAUUCCCUCAGGUCGUAUUUUUCACCACUAAAUCAACCUCCUCUUGUUGGAAACUUAAAAGAAGCAUGUAAUCAAAAUGCAAUCCGUUUCCUCUGUCUUCCUCUCCUCUUCUUUGAAGGUGGCUGUGAGAGGAACCAAACAUUAAAGAAGACCAUCCUCGGAGCCAUUAUGAUCCAAGAGGAUAGUGUGACGCUCAGCCUCCUUGGGCCGGCCUGUUGGCCCGGCCCGACGCCUAAUGAAAGCCCGAAGGCCUGUCAGGAUUUGAAACAGGGCAGUGCUCUGGUAGAUCUUCUUCACCGGUAGAUCUCAUAGCCGCUGCCCUUCUUUUCUUUCCUUUCUUCAUUGCCGACUGCAUAAGCUUCUUGUGCUCGCCGGAAAAUGCCACAAUUUCCUCAUCGGAAGCACAAGCUUCUUGCAUCUUCGAGAGUUAGCUAUCUAAUAAGAAAAAUUUUGUUUGAACAAUUUAUGAGAGAGAGAGAGAGAGAGAAGAAAAACACACUCACACACACACACACAAAAAAAAAAGAGCAACCUUCUUUCUGCCUUUCUGAUGGCCUUCUAAGUUUCAUGCUGGAGCUCCUCUAUUGCCCAGAGUUCCAACGGUAGAAAUUUGGAGCUCACUUAUGGAGGGAUAACAUAUGGACAAGAGACGAUAACAAAACACUCUCCACUUUUGGUGGAUCAUAUGAUUCAUACCGGCCAUAUGACCACGUAGAUGACUCACGGAAUUUCUGGUCCAAGAUAAGCACAAAGUUAUGAUUUUUUUUUAAUAGCUCAGAUCUGUCAAGCUUUUACUCCCUGUUUAAUAAAUCAAAACAAUACCAGUGGUGUUAGCAGGUGAGAUAAAGGAGUAUCAUAUUGAUGAGAGUUCUCAUAAUUUAAGUCUUUUGGAUGCUUCAGUAAUAUACAUCAUGUUAUUUUGCUAUCUGAUCCAUAUUUGUUGUCGCAAGAACUACCUAUGCAGCUGUUCUUAUCAAGAUUCGCCAUUUCGGUAUAGAACUUCAUACCAGUGCUAUACUAGCACCGUGUCAGUACGGUAUGGUAUGAAUUUUUUUCGGCGUAUCGAACGUCGGUACGCAAUCUAUACCGAAUACUAAUAAGAUAUGGUCCACUCUAUACUAUUCGAUUCAUACUGAUACAGCAAACCAUAGAACAUACUCCAAAGUUCAACAUCUAAAGAAGCAUAAAUGGCAAACGUUGCAUACCAAAUAGCAAUAAAGGUGGGUUAACUGAUGACUUAUACAAGACAUGGUUGGCGUUACGAAGUUUUCUAAGAACAAGCGGUUCUUGACAUGCGAUGGAUUUAUUUGUCCGAAUACCAGGAGUGAAGGAGCCUUGCAUUUCAAGAUCCAGUUUGUGAUGGUUUCCCACCUUCUACUGGUUCAUCCAUGGUGAACUUAAAGGAUGGACUUAAUCUUGCACAGACAGGCUUAUGGAUCUUGUCCUCCCCAAGUUCUCUCCUCUCCUUCGUUCCCCAGUAUCUCUCCACUUCUUCUGCUGUUCUGUCAGGUAGUCUUUUAGCAAUCAGCUCCCACCUGACAUUAAAA